CGCUGGAUGUUUUUCUUUUAUAUCGAGUCGAACCUGCCCAGUGAUUUUUAUUUAACGGCCGCAGUACUCUGACUGUGCAAAGGUAGCAUAAUCAUUUGCCUUAUAAUUGAAGGCUAGUAUGAAUGGUUUGACAAGAAUAACGCUGUCUCUUAUAGAUUCUAUAGAAUUUGGUUUUUAGGUGAAGAAACCUAAAUAUAAUUAAAAGACAAGAAGACCCUAUCGAGCUUAAAAUAAUUUUUUUGAUAUAAUGAUAACACCUUACUCAAAAAAAGAUUUUGGUUGGGGCGACUAAGGAACACAAAAAGCUUCCUAUAAACUAUAAUUACUAAUAAGUAUUGAUCCAAAAAGUUUGAUUAACAGAAUUAGUUACCGUAGGAUAACAGCAUAAUCUUUUCUAAGAGUCCUUAUCGAAGAAAAGGUUUGUGACCUCGAUGUUGGACUAGGGUACCCAGACAGGUGCAGAAGCCUUCAAUGGUUGGUCUGUUCGACCAUCAAUACCCUACA
rnacentral:rRNA from 1 species